UGCAGUCGAACGAAGUCUUCGGACUUAGUGGCGCACGGGUGAGUAACAUGUGGGAAUCUACCUAGAGGUUCGGGAUAACUGCGGGAAACUGUAGCUAAUACCGGAUGUGUCUGCAAAGAGAAAGAUUUAUUGCCUUUAGAUGAGCCCGCACUAGAUUAGCUUGUUGGUGAGGUAACUGCUCCACCAAGGCUACGAUCUAUAGCUGAUUUGAGAGGAUGAUCAGCCACACUGGGACUGAGACACGGCCCAGACUCCUACGGGAGGCAGCAGUAGGGAAUAUUGGACAAUGGGGGAAACCCUGAUCCAGCAAUGCCGCGUGAGUGAAGAAGGCCCUCGGGUUGUAAAACUCUUUCAUCAAUGAUGAUAAUGACAUUAAUUGAAGAAGAAGCUCCGGCUAACUCCGUGCCAGCAGCCGCGGUAAUACGGAGGGGGCUAGCGUUGUUCGGAAUCACUGGGCGUAAAGCGUAUGUAGGCUGAUUAAAAAGUUAGAUGUGAAAUCCCUGGGCUUAACCCAGGAACUGCAUUUAAAACUAGUAAUCUAGAAUUUGGUAGGGGUUAGUAGAAUUUCUAGUGUAGAGGUGAAAUUCGUAGAUAUUGGAAAGAAUACCAGUGGCGAAGGCGACUAACUGGGCCAUUUUUGACGCUGAGAUACGAAAGCGUGGGUAGCAAACAGGAUUAGAUACCCUGGGUAGUCCACGCAGUAAACGAUGAGUGCUA
rnacentral:rRNA from 1 species